AUGUUUUGCUCUUCCACACAAGUUUAUUCCUUGUGUAGAUUCUUUUCAUUGCUUGGCCACGGUUUAUUCCAGGUAACUAAAGAUAGUUUACUGUCGAGUGAGUCUUAUAUAUUGGAGCUUCUUUUGAAUCACAGGAGGAAUUGGCUGAAUUUGUAUAGUGGGUUGAAGAUAUUAACAAUGCUCUACGUGAUGUCCGCAAGGAUUGAGAAGACAAUUGGUCGGAUUGCUUUUGGAAGAGGCAUCAGAAAGAAUAGAAACCAUGAUGCCUAUGUUGAUUCAAAGUAUAGUUAUCAAGCAAACCAUUGCUGUUAUUAG
rnacentral:rRNA from 1 species